ACGGAUUCAUCUGCGAACGGUGUCAAACGAGCGCAGCCACUGCGGGGAUCUGCUGUUCGCAUCCACUUCCGCCUACGCCAGUGCGCUGAAGACGGACGCGUGUGCAACCACUUGAGGGGUGUUGGAGCCAAAGACACGGCAAAGUAGAAGAAUGGAUUUUCCCCAAUACUGAAAAAUGUGGCAGCAGUAGGAGACAACAUCAAACUGUCAUGUGUCACAGGGCAAGAAGGCACCCUUCCAUACCCUCUUCUUCUUCCUUAAUUAUGCUCCUCAGAAUGACUUCCUGUCAGGCUCAGCGAGGGAUUCUUCUUCUUGACUCUGUAGAUGACCCCAAACCAUAAACCUCAGCUUUCAUUCUUCAGCCCUUUAGAUAUGUUCUGUGGCUUUGGAGGCUCUCCAGUGGACAGUGAAUGGGCAGACUUUCAGAGUGCAUUUCUUUUUUGGAGUGACUUCCAUGGACAUUCUUUCUAAAAUUAAUAAAAAGCUGCAUCUUUAUAACAGCUCACUUAAAGUAUUAGUCAUUAGAGUAGGACUAUUCAGAUGUCAGUCUUUGGCUGCUCUUUUUUUCGCUACAUGAAUGCUAUUAAAAAGAGACAUGGCUCACAUUUGUCUGUGAUUCAAAGUUUAAAUGAAAAAGUUUCACUGAACUACAGUGCGUUUUCCCACCAUGAAGACUCAACAAAGGGUAUAAAUGGCAUCAUCUUAAUAACUAGUAUAAUUUUAUUGCUCAGCAUUUCAUAUACUAAUGUGGAGCAGGACCACCAACAUGGUCAAUAUGGAAAUCAGAACAAAAUCAACUGGACCAAAUAACGUAGCCAUCAGUUUCCUGUUGAAAACCAUUUUCUCAUAUUAAUUGCCUUAACUUUACAUGCAUGCAGAAUAUUUCAAAUAAAAAAAAAGUCAUAGGAACGGAACAUGUGGCCUUAUUUUGCACGAUAACAAGAGCCAAGCCCGCAAGCAUCUGAACGCUAUGAAAACAAAAGCACUUGAGAAGUAGAUGUACCCUUUCAGUUAUUUCUGUGCCCUUCUUUCCUCUGUUUUGCCAUGCAGGUCGGUUACUUGGAAAGGAAUGCAUCUGAUACUGGCAACAAAAAUCCAGAUGCCCCGUCCCUCCUUCCACCAGUGCGGGGACAUGUCAUCCGUGACCCCUCCCCCAUGGGGACAAAAGGUCACUGACCACUACAGUGCGAGUGAUAACUGCAUUAGCCUUUCAAAACUCCCAAGAACCCAGGCAGUAAAUGCAAAAGUAGGUACAAUAUCUACUCCUGAACGUGUGGACCGUGUGAGUCCGGGCAUCGUGGAUCCUUCUUCUGGACAGCAAUGCAUCGAUCGUGUUGUUCUUCUGCUGGAAUUGAAAUGUUGAUUCUGAAAAAUAGGGCAAAAUCAACAUCAUGACCUCAACAGCAAAAUAUUCCAGAACUAAAUGCACUUUCCGUAGGAAUGCUAGGCCUGCAGGAACAGAAAGCGUGCCUGAGUAAUUUUAAUAAUGACUACCAGGUUCCUAGAUCCGCCGUUUUGGAAAACAUACGAUGUGAAAAUGUCAACAGAGUCAAAACGCUUUUUCUUAAAAAUCCAGCAAAUCUUUUCAUUUACUUAUUUUGCAGACUCUUUUCU